rnacentral:lncRNA from 1 species
GCUGGGAUAGGCACAUGGGUACUUCAUUCCUCAAAGGAGACGUAAUAUGUGAGUGUCAAGACGAAAACACAGUAUAUCAAAAACUUUGCCCCGAUUUUGUGUUUAGGAAAAUGAGCUGGGGUUGGAUCCAUGAGAAUUAGGGUGACACAAAAUCAAGUGAGACUUGCAAAGUUGCCCCAGUCAUGGAAUUAUGGAUUGAUGAAAUUUUGUGUGAGACUUACAAAGUUGCCCCAGUUUUUUUUUUUAUCGUGGUAUGGGUUGAUGAAAAAUUCGUGUGAGGUUCACAAAGUUGCCCCCAGUUUUUCUUCGACAAGGGGUUCAGUUUGGAAGAGGUAGUGGACAUGUACAGGAUCGGCUAAAAGGGUGGCCUCCGAUUGGUUUGAUUUUUCUUUUUGAAUGCUUUUGGUUGGAUGGCAGGAAGAUCCCCUCUUCUUGAGACACUUAUUUUUUCUUCUUUUUUUUUCAUUUAUUCAUUUUCCACUUUUUUUCUUUUUUUUUUCUUUUUUACAACACUUUGAAAGUCAUUUCUCCUUAUCGCAAAAUUAAGCUUCAUGAAAAUUUUAGCAAACAUUAUCCAAUCUGCGUGGACUUUAUUAAGCUUGUAACGUGGCCAAGGGCUAAAAGGUAUUGAAAGAAAGGAUAAAAAGGCCCAAAUCAAUGUUUGUUG